AACGAACGCUGGCGGCAGGCUUAACACAUGCAAGUCGAACGCCCGUAGCAAUACGGGAGUGGCGGACGGGUGAGUAACGCGUGGGAACGUGCCCUGAGGUACGGAAUAACUGCGGGAAACUGCAGCUAAUACCGUAUGAGCCCCGCAAGGGGGAAAGAUUUAUCGCCUUAGGAGCGGCCCGCGUCGGAUUAGCUAGUUGGUGGGGUAACGGCUUACCAAGGCUUCGAUCCGUAGCUGGUCUGAGAGGACGAUCAGCCACACUGGGACUGAGACACGGCCCAGACUCCUACGGGAGGCAGCAGUGGGGAAUCUUGCGCAAUGGGGGCAACCCUGACGCAGCCAUGCCGCGUGAAUGAUGAAGGCCUUAGGGUUGUAAAGUUCUUUUGCCCGUGACGAUGAUGACGGUAACGGGAGAAUAAGCUCCGGCUAACUCCGUGCCAGCAGCCGCCGUAAGAC
rnacentral:rRNA from 1 species